rnacentral:tRNA from 1 species
GGGCCCGUAGCUCAACUGGUAGAGCUUCCGGCUCAUAACCGGACGGUAGCAGGUUCGAGUCCUGCCGGGCCCACCA